AGAGUUUGAUCCUGGCUCAGGAUGAACGCUAGCUACAGGCUUAACACAUGCAAGUCGAGGGGCAUCAGGAAGAAAGCUUGCUUUCUUUGCUGGCGACCGGCGCACGGGUGAGUAACACGUAUCCAACCUGCCCUUUACUCGGGGAUAGCCUUUCGAAAGAAAGAUUAAUACCCGAUGGCAUAAUGAUUCCGCAUGGUUUCAUUAUUAAAGGAUUCCGGUAAAGGAUGGGGAUGCGUUCCAUUAGGUUGUUGGUGAGGUAACGGCUCACCAAGCCUUCGAUGGAUAGGGGUUCUGAGAGGAAGGUCCCCCACAUUGGAACUGAGACACGGUCCAAACUCCUACGGGAGGCAGCAGUGAGGAAUAUUGGUCAAUGGACGAGAGUCUGAACCAGCCAAGUAGCGUGAAGGAUGACUGCCCUAUGGGUUGUAAACUUCUUUUAUACGGGAAUAAAGUGAGGCACGUGUGCCUUUUUGUAUGUACCGUAUGAAUAAGGAUCGGCUAACUCCGUGCCAGCAGCCGCGGUAAUACGGAGGAUCCGAGCGUUAUCCGGAUUUAUUGGGUUUAAAGGGAGCGUAGGCGGACGCUUAAGUCAGUUGUGAAAGUUUGCGGCUCAACCGUAAAAUUGCAGUUGAUACUGGGUGUCUUGAGUACAGUAGAGGCAGGCGGAAUUCGUGGUGUAGCGGUGAAAUGCUUAGAUAUCACGAAGAACUCCGAUUGCGAAGGCAGCCUGCUGGACUGUAACUGACGCUGAUGCUCGAAAGUGUGGGUAUCAAACAGGAUUAGAUACCCUGGUAGUCCACACAGUAAACGAUGAAUACUCGCUGUUUGCGAUAUACAGUAAGCGGCCAAGCGAAAGCGUUAAGUAUUCCACCUGGGGAGUACGCCGGCAACGGUGAAACUCAAAGGAAUUGACGGGGGCCCGCACAAGCGGAGGAACAUGUGGUUUAA
rnacentral:rRNA from 1 species